rnacentral:misc_RNA from 1 species
GUAGGUGAACCUGCGGAAGGAUCAUUCAUAAUAAGUGUUUUAUGGCACUUUUUAAAUCCAUAUCCACCUUGUGUGCAAUGUCGGCCGAUCUUUCUUUUUUGGAAGAUCAGCCAAACAUCAACUUAUUUUUUUAACUCUUUGUCUGAAAAAUAUUAUGAAUAAACAAUUCAAAAUACAACUUUCAACAACGGAUCUCUUGGCUCUCGCAUCGAUGAAGAACGCAGCAUCUGACUGACUCAGGUCUGUAUUA